AAAGAUACAUAACAAUAAUAUGUUUAGCAUGAAAAGGAAACAAGAGUCCCAGACUAACAUUGGGUUGUGAAAGAGGUACAAUAUGCAAAGGAAGAGAAUGGACGAAAAACUGGAACGAGAAAGUGCGGAUGCCCUUUCCAAUUAUAGGGUAAGAAGCUUGCAACUUAAGAUUAUUAGAUAUUGAUGGUAGUUUUGUCAAAUGAAAUAAAAUUUUAAACAAUUUGUUUUAUUAACUUCUCGAAUUCAUUAAUUUGUCAUCUCU
rnacentral:lncRNA from 1 species